rnacentral:tRNA from 2 species
UCCGGCGUGGUCUAGUGGCUAGGAUAUUUGGCUUUCACCCAGAAGGCCCGGGUUCGAUUCCCGGCGUCGGAA